rnacentral:rRNA from 1 species
UAAGGGCGCACGGUGGAUGCCUUGGCACUAGAAGCCGAUGAAGGACGUUACUAACGACGAUAUGCUUUGGGGAGCUGUAAGUAAGCUUUGAUCCAGAGAUUUCCGAAUGGGGAAACCCAGCAUGAGUUAUGUCAUGUUAUCGAUAUGUGAAUACAUAGCAUAUCAGAAGGCACACCCGGAGAACUGAAACAUCUUAGUACCCGGAGGAAGAGAAAGAAAAUUCGAUUCCCUUAGUAGCGGCGAGCGAAACGGGAAGAGCCCAAACCAACAAGCUUGCUUGUUGGGGUUGUAGGACACUCUAUACGGAGUUACAAAGGACGACAUUAGACGAAUCAUCUGGAAAGAUGAAUCAAAGAAGGUAAUAAUCCUGUAGUCGAAAAUGUUGUCUCUCUUGAGUGGAUCCUGAGUACGACGGAGCACGUGAAAUUCCGUCGGAAUCUGGGAGGACCAUCUCCUAAGGCUAAAUACUCUCUAGUGACCGAUAGUGAACCAGUACCGUGAGGGAAAGGUGAAAAGCACCCCGGAAGGGGAGUGAAAUAGAACCUGAAACCGUGUGCUUACAAGUAGUCAGAGCCCGUUAAUGGGUGAUGGCGUGCCUUUUGUAGAAUGAACCGGCGAGUUACGAUUUGAUGCAAGGUUAAGCAGUAAAUGUGGAGCCGUAGCGAAAGCGAGUCUGAAUAGGGCGUUUA